rnacentral:rRNA from 1 species
GGACACGUGGUAUCCUGUCUGAAUAUGGGGGGACCAUCCUCCAAGGCUAAAUACUCCUGACUGACCGAUAGUGAACCAGUACCGUGAGGGAAAGGCGAAAAGAACCCCGGCGAGGGGAGUGAAAAAGAACCUGAAACCGUGUACGUACAAGCAGUGGGAGCACAGGUUUACCUGUGUGACUGCGUACCUUUUGUAUAAUGGGUCAGCGACUUAUAUUCUGUAGCAAGGUUAACCGUAUAGGGGAGCCGGAGGGAAACCGAGUCUUAAUUGGGCGUUAAGUUGCAGGGUAUAGACCCGAAACCCGGUGAUCUAGCCAUGGGCAGGUUGAAGGUUGGGUAACACUAACUGGAGGACCGAACCGACUAAUGUUGAAAAAUUAGCGGAUGACCUGUGGCUGGGGGUGAAAGGCCAAUCAAACCGGGAGAUAGCUGGUUCUCCCCGAAAGCUAUUUAGGUAGCGCCUCGUGAAUUCAUCUCCGGGGGUAGAGCACUGUUUCGGCUAGGGGGCCAUCCCGGCUUACCAACCCGAUGCAAACUGCGAAUACCGGAGAAUGUUAUCACGGGAGACACACGGCGGGUGCUAACGUCCGUCGUGAAGAGGGAAACAACCCAGACCGCCAGCUAAGGUCCCAAAGUCAUGGUUAAGUGGGAAACGAUGUGGGAAGGCCCAGACAGCCAGGAUGUUGGCUUAGAAGCAGCCAUCAUUUAAAGAAAGCGUAAUAGCUCACUGGUCGAGUCGGCCUGCGCGGAAGAUGUAACGGGGCUAAACCAU